UACGUAGGGUGCGAGCGUUGUCCGGAAUUAUUGGGCGUAAAGAGCUCGUAGGCGGUUUGUCACGUCGGUCGUGAAAACCUGCAGCUUAACUGUGGGCGUGCGGUCGAUACGGGCAUCACUGGAGUUCGGCAGGGGAGACUGGAAUUCCUGGUGUAGCGGUGAAAUGCGCAGAUAUCAGGAGGAACACCGGUGGCGAAGGCGGGUCUCUGGGCCGAUACUGACGCUGAGGAGCGAAAGCGUGGGGAGCAAACAGG
rnacentral:rRNA from 1 species